rnacentral:lncRNA from 1 species
GUUCUCUCGUUCCCUUUUCCAAGUGCUUCCUCUCUCAGGAUGUUCCCCUCCACCCAGUUCUCCUUCAUGUUUUUGUUUUUUGGUUUUUUUUGGUUCUUUUUUUUUUUUUUUUUUUCUUCGGAGCUGAGGAUCCAACCCAGGGCCUUGUGCUUCCUAGGCAAGCGCUCUACCACUGAGCUAAAUCCCCAACCCCUCUCCUUCAUGUUUUACAUCUUCUGCAAGUCUCAGUGGUGCAAGAACUCAAAGACCUGAGGUUCCCUUUCCUCCCCUUACCACCAGCCAAGAAACAAAGGAACAUGGUUUCUCCACAUGUGCCAAAUGACUGUUGAGAGCAAACAGGAUGUAAUGACUAUUCCUCCUGUUGCCUGUAGGCAUGGCACUAGGAUUUCAGGGCAUCAUAAAUUAAAGUUGAUUUUUUUUUUACUCAGAGAAUAUCAAGAUAUUGGGAUUAUCUAUGUAUUCUCUGAAAUUUGCGGGGCCACACAAUAAAAAAAAAA